CGGGGGAGGCCGGAUCCUGGGUGUGUCCCAGCGCCCUGUGCUCCGGGGCCUGCGCUGUUGGAUUCGCGCUCCCGCCCCGCAGCCCCCU
rfam:Canis lupus familiaris chromosome 30, whole genome shotgun sequence.